rnacentral:rRNA from 1 species
AUUGAACGCUGGCGGCAUGCUUUACACAUGCAAGUCGAACGGUAACAGGCCGCAAGGUGCUGACGAGUGGCGAACGGGUGAGUAAUGCAUCGGAACGUGCCCAGUCGUGGGGGAUAACGCAGCGAAAGCUGUGCUAAUACCGCAUACGAUCUAUGGAUGAAAGCGGGGGACCGUAAGGCCUCGCGCGAUUGGAGCGGCCGAUGUCAGAUUAGGUAGUUGGUGGGGUAAAGGCCUACCAAGCCGACGAUCUGUAGCUGGUCUGAGAGGACGACCAGCCACACUGGGACUGAGCCACGGCCCAGACUCCUACGGGAGUCAGCAGUGGGGAAUUUUGGACAAUGGGCGCAAGCCUGAUCCAGCAAUGCCGCGUGCAGGAAGAAGGCCUUCGGGUUGUAAACUGCUUUUGUACGGAACGAAACGGUCUGGGUUAAUACCCUGGGCUAAUGACGGUACCGUAAGAAUAAGCACCGGCUAACUACGUGCCAGCCGCCGCCGUAACAC